rnacentral:misc_RNA from 1 species
AGAGCAUCGAGGAGGUGCAGGAGCACGCCGAGGUCAAUUCUUAGAGCCUACCGAGGUCGUCCUCGUCGUCAUCUGCAGUGCUAGUAGCCAGCCCUUCCGAUCCAAAAACCGAGAAGGAUCUGCCGACAAGAGGAAUGGACACACCAGAUUCAUCACAGCGCUGGCAAUGAAUAUAUGCUUUGGCGACGAUCCAGAUUCGAACCCGCCGACACUUCACCUAUUUUUA